rnacentral:rRNA from 1 species
GCCCGAGUAGCACGGGGCCCGAGGAAUCCCGUGUGAAUCUGCCAGGACCACCUGGUAAGCCUGAAUACUACCUGUUGACCGAUAGCGGAUCAGUACCGUGAGGGAAUGGUGAAAAGUACCCCGGGAGGGGAGUGAAAUAGUACCUGAAACCAUGUGCCUACAAACCGUUGGAGCCUCCUUGUGGGGUGACAGCGUGCCUUUUGAAGAAUGAGCCUGCGAGUUAGUGAUACGUGGCGAGGUUAACCCGUGUGGGGAAGCCGUAGCGAAAGCGAGUCUGAAUAGGGCGAUUGAGUCGCGUGUCCUAGACCCGAAGCGGAGUGAUCUACCCAUGGCCAGGUUGAAGCGCGUGUAAGAGCGCGUGGAGGACCGAACCCACUUCAGUUGAAAAUGGAGGGGAUGAGCUGUGGGUAGGGGUGAAAGGCCAAUCAAACUCCGUGAUAGCUGGUUCUCCCCGAAAUGCAUUUAGGUGCAGCGUCACGUGUUUCUUCCCGGAGGUAGAGCUACUGGAUGGACGAUGGGCCCUACAAGGUUACUGACUUCAGCCAAACUCCGAAUGCCGGGAAGUGAGAGCGUGGCAGUGAGACUGUGGGGGAUAAGCUUCAUAGUCGAGAGGGAAACAGCCCAGACCACCGGUUAAGGCCCCUA